AUCUACGGCCAUGCCACCCUGAACAAGCCCAAUCCUGUCUGAUCUCGGAAGCUAAGCAGGGUCGGGCCUGGUUAGUACUUGGAUGGGAGACCACCUAGGGAGACCAGGUGCUGUAAGCA
rnacentral:rRNA from 1 species